CCCCUCCCCCUCUCUUCUCAUUCCUUUCCUUUCCUUCCUUUUUAUUAUUUUCUGUUAAGUAUCUCUUCUCCUCUUCCCAUUGUGCUUGACUUGGGUUUCCCCAGUUGGGGCCCCCGCUUCCCUCAAAAUGGGCCAAAAUUACUUUGCUUCCAUUGAGGUGGGCUGUACAUAUCUAUGGCUUGACUUGUCCUCCUCCUCCUCUUUUUAGUUGUCCGCAAGGCGAAAAGGAGAACAAUAACACCUUGUGAACGAACGGAUGAAAUAAUGUGAUAUGGUGGGUGGGCGGGACGGUUAUGUUGAUUUUUUUUUUUUUUUUUUUUCCCUCCUUUCUUUGUUUUGAUUUCGACUCCAUUAUGAUCUUGUUGUUAAAUUAACUCCCAUAGAAGGAAGCGGGGCUUUGUUGGAUUUCUGGUUUUUUCUCUUUUCUCUGAUGAUGUUCAUGAUGGCGAUGACGAUGACGACAACGACGACGAUAUAUAUAUAUAUAUAUACAUACAUAAAUUUUACAAUACUUCUUCCCCUUCCCCCCCCCUCUUUUUUUUUUUUUCUUUGUUUUUUCCUUCAACCCACUGCUCUUCUUGCGUCAUGUCAUCAGCUUCAGCAUGCUCGUGUCCGCUUCAACUUUAAUGCAAAUGAGAAUAUUUACGAUAGCAUUCCCCUUCGCCGGGGCUUGCACCGCCGGGGGGUGGGGGGGAGGGGGUGAGGUGAAGAGGAAGAGGAGGGUAUUAUUCUUGAUUCGAGCAUAGCAUAGCAUUUAUCUUGCUUUGUCUGCAUUAUGUUAUGCACAUGUAUUCAAAUAUAGCAGGUAUCUCACAAGCAAAAAGAGUAACCCCUGACUUUUUCAACUGCUUUGUCUCCCAAGCAGCAAAAACGCUAGAUGAUUGUUAUUGAAAUUGAUGUGAGGAGGAGGGAGGGGGAGAGGGAAGAGGGUUUCCCUGCUGUUGUGCUAAAAUAUCUCAGCCACGUUGUGCUGAUGGGAAGCAUGACGGCUUAUGUCUCAUUCGCCUGGAUCAUGACGUAAAGAAGUGGCGCUGCGGCACAGCCAUGACUGACUCAGCAGCCGUGGCCUAGACACGCCAAGCUGACGCUAAACCGAACCCGGCAAUGUCCGUGUUUCCCUCCAGCGGAGUUCCCGCGCUGGCUGGCAUCUCAUACAACAUCCAUAUCCACCUCGCACCACCACCCUCUCUUCUGCUGCAUCUGCUCAAUCCUUUCCCCAGCAAAUCUUGCCGCCAGACCGACAAACAGAUACCCUCCCAUCCCGUCUCUCUCAGAUUUCAUUCGUUGAACGGACUUUUCUGCCAGCUUCCCGCCAAACUUGGCCAACCACGAAAUCAUUUCAGGCGCUACUCUGGUUUUGCCUUGCUGCUUCAUUCCUUGACAAACAUCGUCAAUUAUAUCGAAACACACUCCCAACAACCCCCUUUGUCCGGGGGAGAAUCGGAAUUCGAAAUUGAAAAUCUGCCUUUCGUUCCCCCACUGUUUGGAUCUGUCAAAUCCCUUCCAGUAAAACAGCCAACACACAACACAAAACACACCCAUCCCGACGUAUACAUCACAAUAUUUUAUAUCCCCGCUCCCUGCGCGGUUGCCAUCCCCUCCUCCACCGUCGUCGGUUCAGUCGGUAUUAAACAAUACAAGUCAGUCGAUAGAUCACAGGCCCCUCCCCGCGCCGAUAUCUCGAAAGCCGAAUUUUCCGAAACUAGCGUCGCUGCCUGGUUUUAUUUUACUUCUUGGGCCCGCCGGGGAGGUUUUGAGAAACACAAAAGCAAUCCUCCUUUGAUUGAGUUGGUUGAUAUCGCUGCUGGUCAUCAUGUCGUGGGCUGGCUUUAAGAAAAAUGUUAAUCGGGCGACGACGCAGGUUAUGAUGAAGACGGGACAUGUGGAGAAGACGAGUGAUCGAGAUUAUGAAAUUGAAGAGAGACGCUAUCGAACUAUGGAAUCCGCGGUAAAUCGGUUACAAAAGGAGGCGAAGGGCUAUUUGGAUUCGUUGAGAGCCAUGACGGCGUCGCAAAUGCGCAUUGCUGAAACGAUAGAUGCGUUUUACGGCGACGCUGGCGCGAAGGAUGGUGUGAGCAGCAGCUACAAGCAAGCCGUUGAGGACCUUGAUGCCGAAACGAUCAAAGCGCUUGAUGGACCAUACAGAACCACUGUCCUGGAACCCAUAUCCCGCUUCUGCGCAUACUUUCCAGAUAUCAAUGAGUGCAUCAAGAAGCGCAACCACAAACUCCUCGACUACGACGCGAUGCGCGCCAAGGUCAAGAAGCUCGUCGAGAAGCCGGACAAGGACGUCACCAAGCUACCCCGUGCUGAAAAGGAGGCUGAGAUGGCUAAACAGGCGUACGAACAGCUCAACGACCAGCUGUUCAAUGAGCUGCCGCAGCUCAUCGACUUGCGUGUGCCGUACCUGGACCCGUCGUUCGAGGCGCUUGUCAAGAUCCAGCUAAGGUUCUGCGCGGAGGCGUACUCGCGCAUGGCGCAGGUGCAACAGUAUCUGGAUUCGGAUACGAGGGAGCAAUAUGCGCAGGGUCACUUGGAUGAUCGGGUUGAACAGGUGUUACAGGAGAUUAGGGAUUUGAGUAUUGCUGGGACGGUUUGAAGUUUGUUGCGCCUUUUUUUUUUCCCCCACCGCUUUCCCUGUUUUCUAUUUUCCUUAUGAUUAUUGAAUGAUAUUAUUGUUCCGUGGUGUUUCGAGGAUUUCUCCUUGCUUUUCUCCCUUUUGUUCCUGUGAUUUGUUUUUUUUUUUUUUAUUUCCCUUCCUCCUUUCCUCUCAUGCCAUUUUCCUUAACAAUGUCCAAAUCUGAUCUUUUCUUAUAUGAUAGAAUGAUAUGAAACGAGUGAUGGGAGAGCGAAUAGCUUACUGAUAGACCAGAAAACAAAAGGGAAAUCCGAUGUGAUACUUUAUCUUCUCUUCAUCUUAUUUAUCUUUCUCUCUUUUUUUUUGGUCUUUUGUUUCCGUCACUUCAGGGAAAUUGGUGGUGUAAUGAUCUAAAGUGAUGAUUCUGCUAUAAUUCCUUUGCUCUCUGGUGCUCUAGCUAAUACUCUAUAUUCUCCUCGUCGCAUUGCAUUUCAUUCUUGAACUAGUUUUUUCCGCCUCUUUCAUCCCAUCCCCCCUCCCCGAACUUAUUUUACUUCCCCGAAAAAAGAAAAAGAAAAGAAAGGAAAAGAAGACCCUUUUGGUUGUACAUAUCGUUCUUUUAUCAUUAUUUCAACUUCCACCCUACUGGAGGGGAGAGAGAAGAUAACACCCCAAGAGCUGAAAAAAAAAAAGAAAAAAAAAAAAGGUGUGGUGGAACGAAGCACGCCAGUUUUCGCCCGCCAACCCUGAGAUUCCAGUUUUGCUG
rnacentral:sRNA from 1 species